UGAGCAGGAUCAUGACCUGAACUGAAAGCAGCCGCUUAACUGACUGACUGAGCCACCCAGGCGCCCCUUGAGUCCCAUUUCUGUGACAAGACCAGGAACUUUCCAAGAAGCAGGCAAAAUAAAUGAAGGGGAAGCAAGAGGUUAAUACAGCAUCAUGCUUCAGUUACUCCUCUACAAAUGAACCCCAGGGAAAUCAUGGUAGCCAGUGGGACCAACAGUUUUACUAAUAAGAGGAACGUGUGGUAGGAGCAAGGGUGAUCUACACACUGUAUGGAAUGAUGAUGCGUCAGGAGCACCUCAGAACCUAAAAGCACACUGCAGGGAUCAGACCCAUCAAACUGCCAGGGAGAGUCUAAUGGAAGAAUUGUCCUGGUGCUCCAAGGAAAGAGUCCAGUCCCAGGGCUCCUGCAGCCGGACUUGGGGAGAUGUUGCCGGUAGUGGUGACUUCGGAAAGAGCAACGUGUGAACGUGAGGAAAGAUGAUGUACCUCGUUGGAAGAACUGGUUUCACACCCAAUAAACCAAAAGAUAACCCUGAUGAGAUGUUAGUGCUGCCAGACGGUCUGGACCUCCAGUCCCAGCUCUGCUCUGUUAGGGAUGCGGCCUGAGGCCUCAUCUGCGAUCGAGUACUACUUACUUUGUAAACUUGGGAAGGCUGUGGGGAGAGGUCAGGAGACUGUGAAGAGCCCUGGGCAGAGCUGUUGACUCCCAGUAACAGAGCCUCUCUGAAAAGGAGAGCUAAACCGAAAUUCUGAAUGAGCCCGCUUUCUCCACUGCCCCGCCAGGCACCGAGCCCUGGAACCACUGAAAACUGGCAACUCGAGGCAUCGCACGUCUAACCUGUUUUGAUGGCUCUCUUUGCUGCAAGAUACUGUUUAUCUUUAAUAUUUGCGAUCCAUGGCUGUAGUCCUAGCGUCAUAGAAACAGCCAUCUGGUUGGAACUAUUUCUUUUGGAGAAUAUAUAUUCAAGAUGCUGCUUCACCUGAAAAGGAACAUUUUCAGUGGAGACUUCAAAGAACUCUGCAUUAUGUUUGAGCCACUUUUCUUCCCUGCUAUGGCCAAGACAGGCUGGUCCGAGGGAGGAGAUCUACUUCACAACAAUCAACUUGACCACUUCUGUUGGGCACGAUUCUCCCUCUCCUGGCAGCCUCCAGAAGCAGUCAUAGUCACCACACACCGUAGCAGGCAAAGGUUUUAAAAAGAAGAAGGUGGGGAAAGAAAACAUCCAAAUUCGCCAGAAAUGAAUGCUUUGGGCUCUGGCUUCUUUCCUACACUGCGGCAGCGAUGUAGCAAUGUACAGAUUAGCCCCAAAGGCUCUUAAUUCCGCCUACUGAAAUGAAGACUUAGGAGUCUUGGAGCUAGAAUAGUCUCAGACUGUUCUCAAUCUUUAAGCAGAGAGGAAGCACGGGUAGCUGAAGGCCGGCAUGGGAUGGAGUCUAAGAAGCCGACUUGGAAAAGCACGUCUGUGAACUGAGUGAUGGCCCCCGGGUUCCGUGCCCGAGGCCAGUGGCACCUGUCAGACCCCAGAUAAAGUUCUGGGGCUCUAGACCCGAGGGAGGUGAAUGGCUGUGACAGUGAAAAUCUGCCCCCGAAUCAACAUCCGCUUUCAGUCCUGAGAUGUGCAGAUUUGCAGCCCCCGUGGUAAAUGAGGAACAGGAGAAAUAGGAUUUAUUACUGUCACUCCUCUUUCAGGAGGAGACCGUACCUUGGUGUCAAACAGAAAUCUCUUAACCUGGACGCUGUUCCGGUAUUCUUCUAGGUCCAGAUCGAUGGCUUCAUACAUCUUUCUCUCCUCUUCAGUAAGAGGGGCCACCUGGUCAUAGAUUCCAGGGAUCAGAAUAUGACCAGAGGAGUCUACAAGGCUACCUGCAAGGUACGCACAGGAAAUAAAGUCAGGUCGAAGUUA